UACGUAGGUGGCAAGCGAUACUCGGAAUCACUAGGCGUAAAGCGCAGGUAGGCGGCUCGAUAAGUCUCUUGUGAAAGCUCCCGGCUCAACUGGGAGAGGUCAAGGGAAACUGUUGGGCUAGAGUGUGGUAGAGGAAACUGGAAUUCCCGGUGUAGCGGUGAAAUGCGUAGAUAUCGGGAGGAAUACCUAUGGCGAAAGCAGGUUUCUGGGCCAUCACUGACGCUGAGCUGCGAAAAGCUAGGGGAGCAAACAGG
rnacentral:rRNA from 1 species